rnacentral:rRNA from 1 species
ACGCUGGCGGCGUGCUUAACACAUGCAAGUCGAGCGGGGACAUUUAGCGGAAGUUUUCGGAUGGAAGCCAAAUGUUCUAGCGGCGGACGGGUGAGUAACGCGUGAGCAACCUUUCUCUCAGUGGGGAAUAACACAGGGAAACUUGUACUAAUACCGCAUGAGACCACGGUGGGGCAUCCUACAGGGGUCAAAGAUUUAUUGCUGAGAGGUGGGCUCGCGUCCGAUUAGGUAGUUGGUGAGGUAACGGCCCACCAAGCCGACGAUCGGUAGCCGACCUGAGAGGGUGAUCGGCCACAUUGGGACUGAGACACGGCCCAAACUCCUACGGGAGGCAGCAGUGGGGAAUAUUGGGCAAUGGGGGAAACCCUGACCCAGCAACGCCGCGUGGAGGAAGAAGGUUUUCGGAUCGUAAACUCCUGUCCUCAGGGAAGAGCAGAAGACGGUACCUGAGGAGGAAGCCCCGGCUAACUACGUG